ensembl:lncRNA novel transcript, ARMCX5-GPRASP2 readthrough
CUCCUCCCACUGCCGUUGUGGGUAACGCGGACGUGGAAGAACCUCGUCUGCGGAGGAAAAGGUGCCGAGUCAAUCCCCAUACACAGCCGCCGCCAUUGCCUCGAGUCCUUGUGUCUGACUGUCUGUUCCUGCUGCUGUAUGACACAGCACCUCGAGGCAAGGAAAUAAGAAAACUGCCUCUGAUCCAAGCAGAGAAGAACUCCUGUAGCCUGUAAUACCAGCUGUGGGUACUACUCUCAGUGUUGGAGAUCAUCAAAAUACAAUUGGACCAGACCCUUUGGAAAUAAUUCUGUGUCUCAAAUGCCCUGUGGAGCACACACUUAAUCAGUUGAUGGCUAUGGAAUUUUCCAACAUCAGCUAAAGAGAAGGGCCUACUUUAAGGCUGGCCAAUUCUGCAAGAAAGGCAAGGAGGAGGAGACUGGCUCACAGCUCUGGAGGACCCCCUUCUGUCAGCUGUGGGGCUUGACACCACUUGAACAAGAAAAGGAGGGGGAAACUGCACCACAUCAGUGAAGAUCCACCUCCAGUGGCUGCUCUGCUGGUGGUGGAGUUGCUGCUGAC